rnacentral:lncRNA from 1 species
UUCUUGGAUGAGAAGUGAAAUGUUUUCAAAGGAAAAAAUACCCAAGGAAGUUCAGUUAUCUUUUGGAAAAGCACCUUUGGGUUAUGGACACAAGAGGUUUCUCUCAAUUCUUCUCCCAUGCUAAAAUUCAGCUGGAGCUGAAGAACUUUCCUGCAAAACAAAAACUUUAAUGUGGUCUUCUAUUCUCAAAAGGACAUCUUCAUAUUUACCUCCUUGGCAUAAAAAUCAAUCAACCCAUCAGAAUAGAGCUGAAAGGGACCUUGGAGAUCUUCUAGUCCACCCCCUGGCUGAAGCAGGAGACCCGAUACCAUUUCAGACAAGUGGCUCUCCAAUCUCUUCUUAAAAGCCUCCAGUGAUGAAGCACCCACAACUUCUGAAGUCAAAGCUGUUCCACUGAUCAAUUAACAGAAUAACAGAGUUGGAAGGGACCUUGAAGGUCUUGUAGUCCAGCCCCUUGCUCAAGUAGGAGACCCUAUAUCAUUUCAGAGAAGUGGAUGUCCAGUAUCUUGUUAAAAACCUCCAGUGAUGAAGCACCCAUAACUUCUGAAGUCAAAGCUUUUCCACUGGUUGAUUGUCCUCACUGUUAAGAAGUUUCUCCUUAAUUCCAGUUUGCUUCUCUCCUUGGUUAGUUUCCCUCCAUCAUUUCUUGGUUUCUCUUAUGUGUCAGUUCCUUGGAUGUGAAAAGAUGUGUUUCUUAGCUCAGGAGUCUCCAACCUUGGCAACUUUAAGACUUAUGGACUUCAAUUUCCAGAGUUCAAGCUGGCUGAGGAAUUCUGGGAGUUGAAGUCCACAAGUCUUAAAGUUGCCAAGGCUGGAGACCUCUGUCUUAGCUUGCUUAAUGACACAAUGCUUUUCUGAACCAAAACCAGAAGGGGACCUCCAAAAUCGGCACUGUCAUCGUGGUUAAAUUCGGCAAGAAAUGAAGACUCAUCUUCCAGUUGUAUUGCUGAUCAUUAUCUUGCACAUCAAGAAAGUUCCGUCGCUGGUGUGCUACUCUUGCAAUCAGACAAGCUACUCCGGGUGCACAAGCAUUAAAAAUUGUUCUCAUCAUGAGUAUUUCUGCACAAGGUACACAGGUAAGCAUGUAGCACACACCAGUCAGGCUGCAUCACUCUGUGUGUGAUGCAGUUAGCCCUCGACUUACCUCCAUUUGUUUAGCGACUGAAGUUACAA